rnacentral:rRNA from 1 species
GACGAACCGUGCGAACGUUGUUCGGAUUCACUGGGCUUAAAGGGCGCGUAGGCGGAUUCGCAAGUCCGGGGUGAAAUCUUUCGGCUCAACCGGAAAAGUGCCUUGGAUACUGCGAGUCUCGAGGGAGACAGGGGCCGCGGGAACUUCCGGUGGAGCGGUGAAAUGCGUUGAUAUCGGAAGGAACGCCGGUGGCGAAAGCGCGCGGCUGGAUCUCUUCUGACGCUGAGGCGGCGAAAAGCUAGGGGAGCAACGGGG